GAUGAAAAUAAAGAGGAGCUUUUUUUGCUGCUCGGUGAAUACGCACUUUCAGGUUUUAAAUCCCUAACAAUAACGACUGAGAUACGCGGAUUUAUACGAUCGUCUCACCCAACACGGACCUUCAUCCACGGCAAGAAAUGUAGGCUUGAAGAGGAGGCAGACAGUCGCAUUUUUCUUCACGUCAGUGAUUGCGCACGGAACGGGUCGAAAACAGUUGUAAUUUUUACAGUUGAUACGGAUGUAGCAGUGUUAGCCACAUCGUAUGCCACGCAUCUCUCUACCAUGGGCUUGGAUGAUAUGUGGUUGCUUUUUGGUACUGGCAAGCAACAACGUUUCAUUAACAUCUAUGCGAUUGAGCGAAUUAUUGGAGCCGAAAAUGCAAUUGCUUUGCGGGGAUUCCACGCCUUCACCGGUUGCGACUUGACUUCCUCAUUUACAUCAAAAGGAAAAUUGAGCGCGUGGAACACUUGGAAAAAAUUCCCCGAGGCAACAACAGCGUUCACAGAACUGUCCCAGCCAAAAGAGUCUCUUUCUCCAGGUUGUUUUCAAAUUUUGGAAAAAUUUACAAGCCUACUAUAUUAUAGUGACGCCAGCAAUAUGCCGAUAAACCUCGUGCGGAAGCAUCUUUUCGUAACUAAAAUGCGAGCCCUCCAAAAUUUGCCUCCAACAAAGGAGGCACUUCAUCAGCAUUGCCUCCGCGCAUCUUAUCAAGCAGGACAAGUUUGGGGGCGUGCUUUUGCUCCAGAGGAUAUCAUUCCUGCUCCAGAAUUGUGGGGAUGGAGAAGAGUAAAAGGAAUGUGGAAACCAAAAUGGUCAACUUUGCCUUCAAUCUGGGAUGCAUGUCGAGAGUUGGUGAAGUGCUCCUGUACAGCUGGCUGCAAAAAUAGAUGCUCCUGUCGGAAAUCUCGUGUUCCGUGCACGCUUCUCUGUGCAAGGUGUGCACAUGGGGAAGGAGUUAAAUGUUUGAAUGAAUUCAACAAGAGAAUGGACGUUGAGAAUGAUGACGAAGAGGCUCCUUAUCUUCCGGUAGUCCAAGAAAGUGAAGGAUAACGUGCAAUUAAAACUUUGAUCUCUCUUUACAUAUGCCUUAUAAUGUAUCUCUUUAUUUAAUAUUCCCUGCUCUAGUUUUUAUGAUAUAGCAGGUUUUCUCAAUGCAUGGAAGACAAGACUCUUCUUGUAUUUUCUUCUUUCCUUUUUUUUAAAAAAACCUCCAGUCAAUAUGCAUGUUAUCAUCUCUUCUUUUUAUCUAUUACGAUAUAUCGUGUUUUGUUUUUACUUAGCAUCGUUCAGUCCUAAAAACGAUUUUUCCCGUCCAAAACCAAAGAAUUAUGUAAAUUGUAAAUACCUUUUAUUGUUGAUUUCUUUAAAGUUUACCAAAAGUUAAUCAAGAAAAUACUUUAAGCUGCAAAUCAUUCUAGAGAAAUGAUGUGAACUCUGUAACUGAAAUAAAAUUUGUAUCGCAAUUCCAUGUUCCUUUCCUCACAUUGAAAUGACGAUGGCAUAAAAGAUAUCGUAAUUAUGAUAAAACAUAUUUUUUCCUACUCCACCAGACUUCCCAUAGAGAUUUUUGAAAGCUUGGUAAAGAUUAAUUAUCUAAACGGAAUGGAUGACAACCGAAGUACAGUGCAUACAAUAGCUGCGAAGGGCCUCAACAACGAACAACCCCACGCGGGUCACGCGCGCCGCAAGACGCGCAACGUUGCGUUCUCCUUAAGUCACACUGGCGGGUUUACUUUUCAUCGCACAAAAUUGGUUUUGGUAUCAAAUUAAACCUCAAAUGAUUCUACGUUUACAUUUGGUAACAAAACACCCAUUUAAAAUCGCCCGCAUUGCAUAUUCAACCGAAAUUUUUUUGUAAAUUUGAAAAUUUUGGAUUUUCUUGAAAAUUUUGAGAAAUUACCAAGUUAACGCCGAUAAUAAUUAAUGAGCUGAUUCUUCUCGAGUACAUCUACUUAUAAAAAAAAUUUGAUCAAAAUCGACAGCAUAGCAACCGAAAUACAGCGCAUUGAAGGAUUCCGUCGGCCGUCCAGGGCGCUGAAACGGGUCCCGCACCGCGCGGCGCGCACCCGCGCGUAUCACUUAAAUUGAUCUCACGGCUUUAUUUAUUAUCGCACAGAAAUGGUUUUGGUAUCAAAUUAAACGCCAAACAAUUCUACAGCUCCUUUAGAGAAGACCAAAUAUCCAUUUUCUCGCCUGUUUAAAAGUUAUUUGACCUCAAAGUUUCCGAAAAUUGGAACAUUUUCAGUUAAGCUCAAUUUGAGAAAAAAAUAUAAGUCUGACAGGGAAAGUGACAAGAAAUAAAAUUGUUCUCCUAGAAAUUACCUUUCAUUUAAAAAAAAGUUGAUCAAAAUCGGAUCCAUAGCAACCGAGGGACAGCGCUUUGAAAAAAACCAAAAUGGCGGACUUUAACGGCCGCCAUCUUGCUCCAGUCGCGGGGCUCAGAGUGUUUCCCCUUCCAGAAUUGCUCCUGAGGGUACCACCAAUGAGCCCUGAAAGCGGCAUAUUCCAAUCAAAAAGUGCAGGGUUUUUGCCAUUUUCGGGUCGUAGUCAACGGACUAU
rnacentral:lncRNA from 1 species